rnacentral:lncRNA from 1 species
CCUGGUCUCGUCCUCUAACAGGAUUGCAUACAAACUUAAAAGCUUCAUAGCUAAUCAUGAAUACAUGAAACUAAAACAUAAGACAAUAACAAACCCAGGACACAGGAUCUAAUACACAAAACAUUAGCCCGAGUACUGAUUAUUACACACCAUAUACAAAAGCUAAUUUGAAUGAAAUGCUAAUGGAGGAGAUAAAUAAAGAAUGUAAAAACAAGGGAACAUGGAAAUGUUUCAAGCUUUGGCUCUUAUUUCACCUUCCAACGGAGGAAUACAUCUGCAUAAUUGUGAACAAGUACAUGGAGAGUAAGGAAAAUGAGAAGUGGGAAGACUCAGCAACAGUAGUUGGAAUCAACAUCAACAACUCAAGUUCCAAACCCAGUUUCAAGCUUGAAACCCCCAGAUGUAUCACCAAAUCAAGAUUAUAAAACCAACUUUGAGAAAAUUGAAUUUCAAUCCGUUUGAAAAUCCCCCAAGAACUAUAUAAUGGCUUCAGUAAGUCCAAAUCCUUGAAGUUCAAAGUAAAGACUCCUUGGAACAGUAAAUUUUGAUUUUUAGCCUAUUUCGAUUUUUC